AGUGAACGCUGGCGGUAGGCCUAACACAUGCAAGUCGAACGGCAGCACAGUAAGAGCUUGCUCUUACGGGUGGCGAGUGGCGGACGGGUGAGGAAUACAUCGGAAUCUACUUUUUCGUGGGGGAUAACGUAGGGAAACUUACGCUAAUACCGCAUACGACCUACGGGUGAAAGCAGGGGAUCUUCGGACCUUGCGCGAUUGAAUGAGCCGAUGUCGGAUUAGCUAGUUGGCGGGGUAAAGGCCCACCAAGGCGACGAUCCGUAGGUGGUAUGAGAGGAUGAUCAGCCACACUGGAACUGAGACACGUUCCAGACUCCUACGGGAGGCAGCAGUGGGGAAUAUUGGACAAUGGGCGCAAGCCUGAUCCAGCCAUACCGCGUGGGUGAAGAAGGCCUUCGGGUUGUAAAGCCCUUUUGUUGGGAAAGAAAAGCAGCAGGUUAAUACCCCGCUGUUCUGACGGUACCCAAAGAAUAAGCACCGGCUAACUUCGUG
rnacentral:rRNA from 1 species